UACGAAGGGGGCUAGCGUUGCUCGGAAUUACUGGGCGUAAAGGGAGCGUAGGCGGACAUUUAAGUCAGGGGUGAAAUCCCGGGGCUCAACCUCGGAAUUGCCUUUGAUACUGGGUGUCUUGAGUAUGAGAGAGGUGUGUGGAACUCCGAGUGUAGAGGUGAAAUUCGUAGAUAUUCGGAAGAACACCAGUGGCGAAGGCGACACACUGGCUCAUUACUGACGCUGAGGCUCGAAAGCGUGGGGAGCAAACAGGAUUAGAUACCCCCGUA
rnacentral:rRNA from 1 species